CCUGCUCAAUGAAUAUUUAAAUAGCCGCUUUUAGUGCUAAGGUAGCAUAAUAAUUUGUUCUUUAAUUAAGAAAUAGAAUGAAAGGAUAAACGUUUUAUAAUCUUUUUUAAUUAUAAAUAUUUAAAUUUAAAUAAAAAUAAAAAGAUUUUUAUUAAAAAGAAAGACGACAAGACCCUAAGAACUUUAUCUUUAAAGAUUAACUGGGGAAGUUUAUUAACAUAAAUUUAAUUUAUAUAUUUUAAUAUAAGCUUAUAUAGAAAUAAUUUUAGUUACCUUAGGGAUAACAGCACAAUAUUAUUUUAGAGAACUCAUCUAAACUAAAGAUUAUGACCUCGAUGUUGAAUUAAUAGAUCUUUUAUAAGCACAAAUAUAAACAAGUAAGUCUGUUCGACUUUUAAUAUAUUACAU
rnacentral:rRNA from 1 species